rnacentral:rRNA from 1 species
CCUACGGGAGGCAGCAGUGGGGAAUUUUGGACAAUGGGCGAAAGCCUGAUCCAGCAAUGCCGCGUGAGUGAAGAAGGCCUUCGGGUUGUAAAGCUCUUUUGUCAGGGAAGAAACGGUGAGAGCUAAUAUCUCUUGCUAAUGACGGUACCUGAAGAAUAAGCACCGGCUAACUACGUGCCAGCAGCCGCGGUAGUACGUAGGGUGCAAGCGUUAAUCGGAAUUACUGGGCGUAAAGCGUGCGCAGGCGGUUUUGUAAGUCUGAUGUGAAAUCCCCGGGCUCAACCUGGGAAUUGCAUUGGAGACUGCAAGGCUAGAAUCUGGCAGAGGGGGGUAGAAUUCCACGUGUAGCAGUGAAAUGCGUAGAUAUGUGGAGGAACACCGAUGGCGAAGGCAGCCCCCUGGGUCAAGAUUGACGCUCAUGCACGAAAGCGUGGGGAGCAAACAGGAUUAGAUACCCUGGUAGUCCACGCCCUAAACGAUGUCUACUAGUUGUCGGGUCUUAAUUGACUUGGUAACGCAGCUAACGCGUGAAGUAGACCGCCUGGGGAGUACGGUGCAAGAUUAAAACGUUAAAUGAAUUGACGG